AGUCAAGCCUCCGAGCUGCCGACGUACGGAUGUGGUAAGGAUUGCCAAUGACUUUUUCAUCGCUUGUACGGGAACUCUCACUGCAUCCGCCAUUCUUUGCAAGGAGAAUGUGAAUGAACUUCAGAUUGAACUACAGACAGGAGAAAUUCUUCCUGCCAAAGACACUUAAAACCCCUCCCGUCGGCACCGAGCCCCAAGAAUUCUGAUUGUGGCAGAGAAAAAACAGCCAGCAAAGAUAAUACCAAAUAGUAUAAAAAUAGAGUGGGCUUAAGGCAGAGAGACAGAGAGCUGUAGUGUCUCACGCUCACUACAAACAUUUACAGAGCAUGCAUGCAGCUGGGAGGCAAGACCAGCCAAGGAGAUACCAACGCCACGAAGCUCUGGGCGAAAGAAUCUUGCUAAUACUGACAUCCAUUUCUUCGGGCCAUCAUUUGAUGAAUAUUGAGGUGUACAAAGCUCACAAUGCUGUCACGUCCGACAUGUCUCUGAUGGCGCUGAUAGACCGAAGGGGACUGUUUUCAACAGUUUGAGCCAAGGUGCUGAUGUCCGGCGUGUGAAACCUGGCAACAGCUCGGCAAUCUGGAGGC
rnacentral:lncRNA from 1 species